UUACCCUGUGCGCUCCUGAAGGGUAGCGGGUUCUCAUGUCAUCAAAAAAAAAAAAAAAAAUUGCCUUUCCUAAAGUCUGCAGCUGUAGUAAUUUCUGUUCAUACACUGAAAUCCCGUGCUUGCUUCAAUUGUUUGUUCUUGCACAUAUUCCUAUUUCUUGGAAAAACUUACAGAACAAGUUUCAGUAAUUUCUAUCCACAUGCCAAGUUAAAAGAACUAAAGUCUUUCCAUUAUCUUCGGCAAUAGUUCAGUGUAAAUACAGCUGCUUUAACAAAUUGUGCAGACCAGUAUAUAAGUGUAAACCAGUUUCAGUAUCAAUAUCUGCUAUAAUGUGCCAAAGUCUUAUGAACUAAACUUGGUUUCCUCAUAAACUAGUUUGAACUCAUUCUCACUCAGACUCUAGUUUCUGAUCUCUCAAGUACCAUGCUUGCUUCUGCACUUCCACCCGUAGCGAUGGAGCAUACAAUCAACGGGUUCAAGUGAACACAAUAUUUUGGUACGGUGUACAGAUAACAGAUAGACAUGUGAAAAUCAUUAAGAUUUCAAAAAAUACUGAAUUUUGAACCCAUAAGUGCCUAAAUGUGGAACACAUCAAGUUAAAUCCUGAAUCCACCUCUGAGUCUUUCACCAUCAAAACUUGAUGUUACUUCCAGGUGUGGAUUGGCCUUAAGUUCAUCAUUCAACUCAUUCAUCGUGUAGUCUACAUCACGAAUAUCUUCUGGAACUCCAUUCUCAUCAUGGAAGUUAGCCACUGUGAACUACCUUCGUGUCCCAAAGAGCGAGCACCAUGCUCAUCGAUACUUCUAAUUCGCUCGCCAUUAUGGGAGUUUUGAAUCUGAUACAGCAACCAGAUGCAAACAACUAUGAAGAAUAUAAACUGGAAAACUUCUUUGGCCUUAGCUGCUUUAUCUCUCUGGUUCCGGCUAGUAGCUAAGCUUUUUCCCUUGCCGUGGUUUAGAAGAUAUGGCUAUGCGGACUAAAUACAAAAUAAAAGUCAUCAAAUAAGUAGCACGCUUGCUUCUACACUUCCACUCAAUCAACGGGUUCAACUGAACACAACAUAUUCAAUGCGGAAUACAGAUAUAUACGUCUACAUCACGAACAUCUUCUGGAAUUCCGUUCUUAUCAUGAAAGGUACGGACCUCAUUACCAAAAUUUUCGAUUUCUGUUUCAUUGGCCUGAAAUUCUUCUCCAGCUUUAUUUACAACAAAUUUAGAUUCCUCCAUAGUGUUGUUGUUUUCUUCUGUUCAGAAUCACCCUGAACAGUUAACCACUGUGAACUAUCUCUAUGUCCCAGAGAACGAGCAUCAUGCUCAUUGAUGAGCUUGCUUCUGAUUCGCUCACCAUUUUGUGGGUUUCGAAUCUGAUGCAGUAACCAUAUGCAAACAACUAUGACAAAUAUAAACUGAACAACUUCUUUAGUUUUAGCUGCAUUAACUCUCUGGCUCCGGCUACUAGCUGCGGUACUAUUGUUCAUGAUUUUUAACAAUGACAAAUAUCUUAAUGAAUAUCAAGUAGGG